AUGGUUAAGUUAGAAAGGGCGCACGGUGGAUGCCUUGGCACUAGGAGCCGAUGAAGGACGGGACGAACACCGAUAUGCUUCGGGGAGCUGUAAGCAAGCUUUGAUCCGGAGAUUUCCGAAUGGGGAAACCCACUGCUCGUAAUGGAGUAGUAUCCAUACUUGAAUACAUAGAGUAUGAGAAGGCAUACCCGGGGAACUGAAACAUCUAAGUACCCGGAGGAAGAGAAAGCAAAUGCGAUUCCCUGAGUAGCGGCGAGCGAAACGGGAACAGCCCAAACCAAGAGGCUUGCCUCUUGGGGUUGUAGGACACUCUAUACGGAGUUACAAAGGAACGAUAUAAGCGAAGAGGUCUGGAAAGGCCCGCCAAAGAAGGUAACAGCCCUGUAACUGAAAUGUUGUUCUCUCCAGAGUGGAUCCUGAGUACGGCGGAACACGUGAAAUUCCGUCGGAAUCCGGGAGGACCAUCUCCCAAGGCUAAAUAC
rnacentral:rRNA from 1 species